UGGAUGGUCAUGGAGUGUUUGAGGGUGUGGGGAAGUGUUUAGGGGUAAGUGGGAGGAAAUUAGGGGAUUACGAGGAAAAUAUUCAAAAUCUAAUCAUUUUCUUGUUUUUUUUUUUGAAAAAAAGAGAGAGUCAGUUUUCUCUUCAUUUUCCUAACGAUUUCUUUUACCAUCUUUACCAUUUUCAUUCCUCAAUUCCUCCCAUUGCCGCCAAAUUCCACUUCUCUCCC
rnacentral:lncRNA from 1 species